rnacentral:misc_RNA from 1 species
AGGAAGUUAAAAUCAUCAUCUUCAGUUUUGAAAGACUUAGAGAAUGAUAAAUUUUUUGUAAGUUUUUCUUUUUUUAAGAAGAAGGGCCUAUAGCUCAGUUGGUUAGAGCACACGCCUGAUAAGCGUGAGGUCGGUGGUUCAAGUCCAUUUAGGCCCACCAAUCUAAUAUAUAUGGCACCUUCUUAAAAAAAAGUUCUUUGAAAAGUAGAUAAAUAAGGCAACGAAUUAAAAAGCGAAGGAAAUAAGG